CGGCGCCGUGCGCAGCGCUCGUGGGAGCAGCGCCGGAGUCGCGCAAGAGCUGAGCCGGAGCCCGGCCGCCAGCCGCCGCCUCCCUCGGCCGGAGCCGAGUGGGCGCGGAGGCCAUGCGGUGCACGGCAGUUUCCCCCGACCGCCCAGGAGCCACGCACGGCGAGAGGACAGGGCGGGCGGCCAGCCCUACCCAGUCGGUCCGCUUUGCUGGGGAAGCGCCACCUCCGUUCCCCACAGUGGCCUAGGGCUGAACGCGGCUUGUCCCGGGCUCAGCCUCACAUCUGAGGGACAACUGGAGCGCCGGGCAAACGCUGACUGCACGGCCCCGCUGUCUCCGGCCUCAAACUUUUGUCUCAACUUCGGGGAGGGACCUGUGCCUCGCCGCCCGGCCUGGCCACGCCCCGCGCUCCCCGCGUUUGCGGGGGAGGAACCCGCGCCCGGCACAGCUGGAGCCCGCCUGUCCCCGGCCUCACCUCGCCGACCCCCGCACGGUCAGCGCCCACGGCUCGGCCACGCGCAGCCCUUUGGCUGGGUCCCGGGACGCUGGGAGUAGGCGACCGGCGGAAGGCGGCGCCGCGGCCCGGCAGGAGAGGUGGAGGCCGUUGGCGAGGCGCGGAGCCCCAGGCCCGGCCACGAGCGGCGCGUCGCGAGCGCAGCGUCCCGGGCGCGCGAGGGUGAACGCGCAGCGCAGGCCGAGGCGCGGGCCCCACGCGAUUUCGCCUCGGCGCCCAAGGUCGGAGCGGCCCCCGGGUAGGGCUCCGGGCAGACCCUCGGCUGUCCCUGGACGCUGCGACCUUCCGCCCCAGAACUGGCCCCGCUGCCGGCUCCGGGCAAGCAGCGCCCGCUUCGCGCGCCCCGCCCCAUCCCACCCGGGUUUCGAGGCUCAGACCCCGCCGGGUGCCCCACGCUCCGUGCCGGGGCGUCUCUCCAGCCGCUCCAGUUCUCCCCGAGAGAGUUAUUUUUAGCCUCCCGACCAAGCAGCUCUGCAGCGCAGCCACCGAGCCUGAGGCAGCCAGGCGAGCGGUCCCGGGGAGGGCGGGCGACCGGCGCGGGGGGAUGCGGUCCAGAGGAGGGAGCCUUGUCAAGAACCUCAAAAGUUGGAUCCUUUUCGCAGAGGACAACAUCGAGGCUCGCCUGGGCCAGAGAAGCUGCUCCGCAGCGGGCGAUUCAGGCCCACGCCCCUCACGCACCUGAGAGGAGCUUGGCGGUGUAAACAGGCCUAGGGGUCCCCAUCCGCAUUGGGCAGCCAAGCAUCGGGGGCGUGUCCUCCGCCGCCCCCACUGGCUCAGCGGGAAGAUGCAAACGGACCCGGGACUCGUGUAUCGGUGCUUGUGUGAUAAACGUAUCACCAGCAAGUGAGUGUCUGACCUGAACUUGUCCGCGACCAACUCGAGUAAACUCCCUGGGGAGUUGUUUGCGGCGACCCAGAGGAGGAAGUUACCAAAGCGGACUUGGCGACCUGACCAGGGUCUCCUGUCUGUGAUGACAUUGGCCCCACCUGGCUAAACUAGGAUACUUUCCUCAUUCAAGAGCCUUAACUUAAUAGCAUCUGCAAAAUCCCUUUUGCCAUAUAAGAGCUGCAGUCGGUGCGGUUCUGUACACAGAAGUCCUCGAGAGAAAUGCUUGUGGGCUGCUCUCCCAACUGCAUCCCUCUGGCGGAUCCAGGGGAGGGAGCCCCAUCUGGGUGCCACGUGGCUGCUGCAGUGAUGCAGAGCCCAGGAAGGACACAGUCCAACACCCCACCUCCUCCUGGCUCCACGCAGCAGGCUGAUGGGUCCCGGGAGGGAGGGACAGACUGACGGCUCUGGUGCAGAGUUAGAAGGACACAUCCAUCUUCCUGACUCGGCGUGACCUAGAAAAAUCCAUAGCAUCAGAACUUGGUAUUUGCAAACAAGCACAAGGAUCCUAUCAUUUUAAGCUGAGGUUCCAGUUGCCAUGUGACAAGUAUCUGUGACCACUUGGUUCUCAGGCUGAGAACUUUGAGCACUUAAGGAGGGAAGACAGUCUAACUGCAAAAUAUGAUUAGCGUGGAAUCGGAUCUGCCGCCUUCAUCUCUUGGCAGGGGAAAUGUCCAGCAGGUUUGGAGCCUCAAGGAUCAGCCUGUUUUUAUAGAGAAACAUUAAAAAAACAAAACAAAAAAAACCUCUGGAACUGAGCAAGAGAAGUCUCACUUCAAACUGCAAAAAAACACAUUCUUUGCAAAAUGAGCAGAAGCGUCUUUCUACUCAGUCCAGACCCUGUAUUGGUCAGGGUUCUCCAGAGGAGAAACAGAACCAACAUGAUAUCUAUCUAUUUAGAAAGCAAAUGUUGAAGAGCUAAAAGGAAAAAUAAAAAACUCCACAAUCAGAGAACAAGCAGAUGAAAAAUAAUUAAGGUAAUAGAGAAUUUGACUACAACUAACAAACGAUCUAACCAACAGAUGUAAAACACACGCCCCCAAACUGUAGAACACAUGUUCUUUUCAGGUGCAUAUAGGGUAUUUACCUACAUAGAUCACAUGCCGGGCCACCAAGUGUGUCUCAACACAUAGCAGAGGAUUGAACUCACUUAGGGUGUGUUCUCUCACAAAGUGGAAUUAAGUUCGAAAUCAAUAAUAGGUCUCUAGAAAUUUCCCAAAGUUUAGAAAUCAUGCAGCACACUUCUAACCAUUCACAGGACAAAGAAGAAAUCACAGUGAAAAUUACAAAGAUUCUCAGACAUAGAAAACCAUGUCGGGACUUCCCUGGUGGUCCCGUGGUUAAGACUCUGCGCUUCCACCACAGGGGCACGGGUUUAAUCCCUGGUGGGGGAACUAAGAUGCCGCAUGGCGCGGCCAAAAAAACAAAACAAAACAAAGCCAUGUCAUUUUCAGCAAAUGGCAAACAGCUCAGAAAGCCACAGACCUAGGGUGUGGCCUGGAGAAAGCAGGGAGAUGGAGAGGGAGACUCAGGCCACAUCAGGCUAAGGAGUUUGGGCUUAUAAACAGUGGAAAGCCCUGGAGGCUUUUAACCAGGGGACCUGCUGUGUGGAUGUAGAGGGUGGACUAGACAUACUGGAGGGAAAGACGGACGGAACGUGAAAGAAUGAGGCCAGUUGGGAGGCCCCUGCCUGAGAUACGAGAUCAAUAGCUGUUCUGCGGGGCUUCCCUGGUGGCGCAGUGGUUAAGAAUCCGCAUGCCAAUGCACGGGGCACGGGUUCGAGCCCUGGUCCGGGAAGAUCCCACAUGCCAUGGAGCAACUAAGCCCGUGCACCACAACUACUGAGCCUACGCUCUAGAGCCCGUGAGCCACAACUACUGAGCCCAUGGGCCACAACUACUGAGCCCGUGCGCCUAGAGCCCGUGCUCCACAACAAGAGAAGCCACCGCAGUGAGGAGCCCACGCACCGCAACGAAGAGUAGCCCCCGCUCACAGCAACCAGAGAAAGCCCAUGUUCAGCAAUGAAGACCCAACA